AUUGAACGCUGGCGGCAGGCCUAACACAUGCAAGUCGAACGAGUGGCGGACGGGUGAGUAAUGUCUGGGAAACUGCCUGAUGGAGGGGGAUAACUACUGGAAAAGGUAGCUAAUAACGCAUACCAGCAGAAGUGCCCAGAUGGGAUUAGCUAGUUGGUGGGGUAACGGCACACCAAGGCGACGAUCCCUAGCUGGUCUGUGAGGAGGACCAGCCACACUGGAACUGAGCUACGGUCCAGACUCCUACGGUAGGCAGCAGUGGGGAAUAUUGCACAAUGGGCGCAAGCCUGAUGCGGCCAUGCCGCGUGUAUGAAGAAGGCCUGCGGGUUUUAAAGUACUUUCAGCGGGGAGGCGUUACCCGCAGAAGAAGCACCGGCUAACUCCGUGCCAGCAGCCGCGGUAAUUC
rnacentral:rRNA from 1 species